rnacentral:tRNA from 1 species
GCCCGGGUGGUGGAAUUGGUAGACACAAGAGACUUAAAAUCUCUCGUCCGCAAGGACGUGCCGGUUCAAGUCCGGCCCCGGGUACCA